GAUGACAACACAUUUUUCAAUGGUUUCUGAUUUGGGCUUGAACUUGAUUAAUUUAUUUACUAUUUUAAUAGUUCUCUAAUUUUUGAACGUGAGAUGAGAUGAACAAGAUUAUAUAAUUCUUGCCAUCUGUUGCUAAUUGAAAUUCUGCUUUUUCAAUAUUUCUCUGUUAUCUUCCUAUUUAUAUUCUUAAAUGUGUGCAUGUUGAUUAUUUUUG
rnacentral:misc_RNA from 1 species